ensembl:lncRNA
AUGUCAGUUGAAGGACUGGAGUCAUGUGGAUCAGCUGUUUGAACUCUCAUUCUGACGUCCCCCAAUCACUGUAGAGGAUCCAUUAGUGAGCAAGUGAUCUCAUCUACUGCUUUGGAUCGCCUGAAGGGUGAGUGGGAGGUGUGCUGAUGUUGACCCAGAAGUGAAGUGAUGCGUGGAGGACAGACAGCAGUGUCAGCAGGAGAGAACAGGUUUCUUAACAGAUUAGUAAGUUGGAGACCCAUGCCAGUGGAUGGUGGUACUGGUGAUGGUGGACCGCCUGGUCUGAGACUGAAGAAUGAAGCGAAUGAAGCAGACCUAUCCCGUCUGUCUCCUAAUAAACAGGCACCAGAUCCUGGGCCCCGGCCAGAGGGGAGCCCUGCCACCCAAACCGCCAUCUCUCCCUCGCCUCUAGAGCCUAGCAGGGAGGCGAACGGCCACACGCCGUCUGACAGAAAGACAGAGAGAGCAAAGCCAGCGGGCCAUAUGUGUCUGGUUGUGAGAGGAACUCAAACCACAGACUGUCCAACUCAGAAAUGCUGCAUCUGCCCAGCUCUUCCUCAUGGCAGAAUUAAUGGAGCGCUCAGCAUGGAGCGGGGUGAAAAAGUCACAACUAAAGAAAGACAAGAUUUUUUACUAGAAGACUGA